rnacentral:lncRNA from 1 species
CAAACUGUAAUGUAGGCCUGACAAAACCUCAGCCAACUCUCUGAGGAGCCCUGAAGCAAAUAGUGACUGUCAGUGUGUGGCCUUGAGCCAAAAAUGCUGGGUCUCUGUUCUCUUUCCUUUUCAGUGGCCAGAGGCCAACUUUUGUAGGAGGGGCAUGACCCUGAGAAAGGUGGCUCAACUGGAGCUCUGCAGCUCAAAUGGAUCUUGAGAGAUUUGACAGCUGGAGCUCUUUGCUGACCAUACUCCUUGCAUCUGGACGGCAAGUUCUUUCUUGAAGAGAAAGACUUGGAAAGUACCUCUGUAUCUGCCACAUAUUUUAAAAUUUAUACGACUAACUUUUUUUUUCUAUUCAUUCUUUUCUCUAAAGAAUGUCCACUCUGUGUACAAAGCUGAACCUAUCUUGACAGAAAUCAAAAGCCUAUGUUUGUAAGAAAAGGGAAAUUAGUGGGAUUAGUGUUGUUGGCCUAGACUCUGAUUGUCCUUGGAGAAUAGGAGAGUUUGGAUUGAUUAGCUGAUACAGUAGUUUUCUGUUGCUGUCUUAAUAAAUCACCACACACUUUCAUAGAUUAAAACAGCACAUAAAAUUGCUUUUUUAAAAUAUUUUUAAUUUGUUAUAAUUAGUUACACAUGACAGUACAAUUACCUUGACAUAUCAUUCAUUUGAAUCACAUGGGAUACAGUAUCUCAUUUUUCUGAGUAUACAGGUUGCAGAAUCACAUUGGUCACGCAUUCACAUAUAUAUACACACACUAAUAAUAAUGUCUGUUUCAUUCUACUAUCCUUCCUAUCUCCCCUAUCACUCCCCUCCCCUCCUAUCACUUCUCUCUAUCUAAUCUAAGGUUGCACUAUUUUUUUUCUCACAUCUUCAUACGUGUACUUUGUAUAACAAUGAGGGUCUCCUUCCACCAUCCAUGCAAUUCCCUUUCCCCCUCCCUUUCCUUCCCACUCCUCUUCCCUAUUGUUAUUUUACAAUUCUGUGGCUCAGUCAGGCACCUCUGCUUUGGGUCUCAUAAAGCCUGGAAUCAGGUGGUCUCCGUGAUGUUAGGCUUGGUUGGUCUCCUAGUUGGUCAGUGUGGGGAUAAAUCUGCUCCUAAACUCAUUUGGGUUGUUGGAAGAAUUUGGUUCCUGUGAUCAUAGGUCUUAGGCCUUUUUCCUUGCUAGCUGUCUACUGUGUAUUGGUCAGUCCCCUCAGGCUCACCAAUAUUUUUCUUGUCACCUUGCCUUCUAUUUCCAAACCAGUAAUGGUAAGUCAAGUCCUUCCCAUGUUUUGAAUUUCUUAGACUUUCCCUUCUCCUGUAUUUCUUCUGCUUCAGGUAGGGAACAUUCUUGGUUUUUAUGAGCUCAUGUGACUAGAUUGGGCCUACCAAAAUAUUUUUGGAUAAUCUCCGUAUUUUAAGAUCUGUAGCCUUAAUUAUGUAUGUAAAGUCUCUUUUGUCACAUGGUAGAACAUGUCACGGAUAUCUCGCAUGGACAUCUUUGGGAAUUAUUAUGCUGCCUACCACUGCUGGGGAGCAGAAGCCUCAGGAAAAGUUUCUGACAAGAUGCAGUGACUUUUUAAAAUUAAUUAAUUUAUUUAUAUGCUUAUGUUUAAUUUUUAACUUUUUUUUUCUUGCAGUAUUGAAGAUUGCACUCAGGGUGUUGUGCAUGCUAGGCAAGCACUCUUCCACUGACCUACACCCUCAGUCCUUCAAGUGGCAUUUUUAAAUUUAUAUAUGAUAGCAGAAUCAUUACAAUUGUUAUUACACUUAUAGAGCAUAAUUUUUCAUAUCUCUGUACACAAAGUAUAUUCAUAACAAUUUGUGUUUUCAUACAUGUACUUUGGAAAAUAAUGUCCAUCACAUUCCACUUAAUUUCUAACCCCAUACCCCCUCCCUUUCCUUCCCAUCCCCCUCUGCUGUAUCUAGAGUUUGUCUUUCCCCUCCCUACCCCACUAUGAACCAACCUCCUCAUAUCAGAGAAAACAUUCGCCAUUUGUGUUUUUGGGAUUGGCUAACUUCACUUACCAUUAUUUUCUCUAACUCCAUCCAUUUACCUGCAAAUGCCAUGAUUUUAUUCUCUUUUAUUGCUGAUUAAUAUUCCAUUGUGUACAUAUGCCACAUAUAGAAUAUUUCAUCCUUCAAUGAGAGAAUACACUUUCUUCUCAGCAGCACAUAGAUCCUUCUCUAAAAUAGACUAUAUAUUAUGCCACAAAGCAACUCUUAGCAAAUAUAAAAAAAUAGAGAUACUACCCUGCAUUCUAUCAGAUCAUAAUGGUAUGAAAUUAGAACUCAAUGAUAAAAUAAGAAAUAGAAGCUACUCCAACACCUGGAGACUAAAUAAUAUGCUACUGAAUGAACAAUGGAUUGUAGAAGACAUCAAGGAGGAGAUUAAAAAAUUUUUAGAGGUGAAUGAGAACACAAAUACAACAUAUCAAAAUCUUUGGGACACUAUGAAAGCAAUUCUAAGAGGAAAGUUCAUUGCGCAUGGAGUUCAUGCCUUAAAAGAAGAAAAGUUAACAUCAAAUGGCAUUUUAUAUGGCAGAUUUCUCAGCAGUCAGAGAGAUUGGGCUAAAAUGCAGGAGUCCUCCUAAUCUAACUGAAACUGAAACCAUGAGUGUCUGGAUGAGGGCAAUGACAGUAAACGUUAGAAGUACAUGAGCUCUCCAGAGAAAGUACUGAGGAAUAGCUGCCAAAUUUGCUGGAGGGUAUGUGGGGGAUGGGUGAGGUUUUGUGUUUAAAAGGUGUUCUUGCUGGAUGUAAGGCUGUAUUAUUCAAACAUCAAAAUUUUACCUCAAUUUACCGUUCAGGCACAGAGACAGGAUUACAUGGAGCAAGACCCUACAUAAAGACAUUUGUUUUCAUUCUUGACACUAAAAACAUUCAUUCCAAAAACACAGAGAGUAAUAGAGUACAGAUGAUUGAAAAUAAGAUUCAAAGCCCUAAAUUAUGUAAGUUUGACUAGAGAAUACAACCUAUAAUUCUAGGUGACACACAUAUUCUAUAGCGUGUUUUACUUAGGCUGAUAUUAAAAUAAGUUUGUAUUCUCUCAGUAUGAGCCACUUAGUGGCUUGGGAAUUUUCUCUGGAAGCAAAUUAAAGGAAAGUAAGAUUAAACAACAAUUUUUGCAAGAGAAUAGCAUACAUGCAAAUAAUUAAGAAAUGCUAUAUGAGAUGAGUCAUCUGAGGGCUUAAGGUGAAUCUGUCUUGUUAUUAUCUCAGUUGUCACCUGCUUUCACCAACAAAUUCCUGGCUGAACUGGAGAAAACACACAGAACAAGUGAUGUCCCAAAACAAAAAGGUCAUAUUUCUUUGUUUCCAUUGCUAAAUUCCCCAGAGUAUCUGGAAUGAGCUAGUUUUUAGCUGCUUGCUUGAUCCUCAAUUCUUCUUAUAACACCUGAAGGCAUUGACCUUUAGGUCAUUCAAGUUCAUGUUGUAGAAGGAUAGGGAGAACUAUUUUGAAGUGAGGAUCAGAUGGCAAAAGAGCAGGAAACCUUUGGGGGAAAGCAGACCAACUAGACUGUCUAACUAUAUAGAAAUGGAACACUUUUCAAUAGUUGGUGAGUUUGUUCUAUUCACUGUGCUGCUUUUUUCCCCUUCCUCAUCUGAAAAUGUUAAUUUUGAUCCUUUUGAUUGCUAAAGUCAGCAUAACUUUCCAUUGGGUUGUACAGGACAGAUUUUACAGUUCCUAAAGUGAUACCAUUACAGCAGACUUAUUUGCAUUUACAGACAAAAUAGCUUGUUUUGUGGCUGAGAGCAUAAUGGUUUGGGCAAGUGGGAGGAAAGAGAAGAAACCAACUGGGUGUGACAGGUGAGAAGUCUUAGAAACAACAGCAUAAAGAAGUAUUGGUUAGCAAAAGCUGGGUGAAUGCAGGGAGCUGAACCUGAGGCCCAGAUGUUAUGUGGAGACCCCCCCCCCCCAUAAUCUUCUAAUACACUUUUGUUGUCCUUGCUCUGACAUGUGAGCCUUUCCUGGGAACUUUCAUUAACAUCCCCAGGUGGAACACUGGGAUCCAUGAAGAGCAUUUUAAAAACCAAAGCAAAUAGAAAUCUAAGUGUAUAUUAUCUGAAAACAAUUCCUAGAACAAUCAGUGAUAGAUAAGGGUGAAGGAUGAAAGGUAAGAACGUCAUCAAAACAUCUCCCCUUUUCUGUUACCUAUUGAACAGCAAUGGAGUAAAAGGCUUUAGAAGAAUAUAAGCCUUAUUUGCAUAUUUUCUGGAAAUGUGUCAAGAAGAGAAAGUAUAUCUCCAUAUGUAAAACUUCACUCAGGAUAGGACACCUGAGUGAAGGAAAUCUUAUUAAGGGAGCUGACCUGCCUAUUGACAUUUAUUUAACUCUUUUAGAAUAAAAUACACAUUGGCAAGAGCUUUUAGAAAAAAAAAUGUAUCUGAUUCCCAUUCCAAGGAAAAGCAAUGGAUUCAAAGCCAAGGAGUAUUCUUGGAUUGAACUUUCAUAGUGCCUUAAUUUAGCCAGCUGGAGAAAUGCUCUUGCAAGUAUAAAAUUAUUUAAGUCUAAGCAAAAGAAAGCUUUUCAUUAUGGUUUUAAAUCUGGAAUUUACUGUAAAGUUGUCUAUUAAUUUGUUAAGGUAAAUUCCAUUUUUUAGUGAUGGUGAAAAUAUUUAUGAAGGUGUUUAUUGUGUAUUAGGAUAGUGAACUUUGCCCUACAUACUUAUCAAAGAGUUUUACUUCUUUAACAAGUAAUGAAAUAUUUUUGACAAAAGUAUGAUUUACAGUGCCUCAGAUCUAUAUAAGUCAUCAGGAACAUAAUUUCGAAACUUAAUAUUGAAUAAAAAAACAAGUAGCAGAAGGACAUGUACAGUGUGUUAUUUUUGGAUACAUAUGUAAGUAUGAAAAUUUUGGAAAAAAAUUAUGUAUAUUAUAAUACUGUUUGCCUAGUAUGGGGGAGUUGCCUGUGUGGGCAGAGAAUAAAGAGAAUUGAGAAAUGAGGUUGGUGCAUAAAAGAAAACUCUGGUCUUUCCUUUUCCCUUCCACUUCACUCUCCCUCCCUCUCUUCCUUCCUUAAAAAGUACAACUAAAAAUUGCUUGGGAAGUUUUAUUUAAAAUUACAUAUUUCAGGGGAAAAGAUCACCAGAUGAACUACAUGUAUGCAUAUGUGCAAGAAUGUACAUAUCUCAAUGUUCACUGUACUAAAAUAUUAUUAUGACAACUACUGAUCAGUUUCUCUACCAGGUAUCCCUUAGAAGAAAAAAGGCAAAGAAAAGAAUGAGAAAACAAAUCUAAUCCAUAUUUCAGUGAUCAGAGAAAGAAUAAGGAUAUGGAAACACUUGGAACAGAGAAAUAAGGUGAGAGAAAAUAAAACAGGACAAAUGGUAUAGAAGACUAAAUGGAGAGAAUAUAAGCAAAGAAAGUAAUGUGGGAUGAUUAAAAACAUUCGUAUGUACUCUUUCAAAGAAAGUCAAUUACAUUAUAAAGUGAGCCAAGCUAGUUGGUCGGUGUCUUGUAAAACAAGUUGAAACUUAUGACUUUCAAAAUUUUUAAUUUUAACCAAAAAAAGUCAUAAAAAUCUAUUAGGCUACAUUGUGGAGAAAAUGGAUCUGUAACAUUGGGUUGACCUGAAGCAUGUGUUAUAAAUUUGACUAAAACAUUCUUAUGUGUGUCUGUGUUUUCUGUUAAAUCAAUGGCCAAAGACGACACUAGCUCUAAGAGAGUGUGGGAACAUGACCUGCCAACAGAGGCUUUGAUCUAUGAACAUAGACAUCAGCAGUACAGGACAGAUCCUUUCUGGUUAAAAAGCAGCUUUUGUCUGGAAAGUUCCCCUCUAGCAAUACAUAGACCAAAGCAAAAAUAUUAAUAGGACUGGCGAGGACAUGAGAUCCAGCCUCUGUAACUGAUUGUGGGUUUAUUGUCUCACACUGUUCUAAGUCUUAGAAAUGACACCAUGUAAGUAAGGCCACAUAAGCCCUAUAAGUGGAAAGGGACAAGUAUAUAUUGGCUCUCCUUAUAUUCUUUGAUUUUGCAUUUCUAUGCUUUUCUUGUCUUUACCAGGUGUUUUAGUCAGCUUUGCAUUCCUGUGACCAAAAGACCUAACAAGAACAACAUAGAGGAGGAGAAAGUUAUCUGGGGACCAUGGCUUCAGCAGUCUCAGUCCAUGGAUGGCCGAUUCCAUUGCUCUGGGACCAAAAUGAGUCAUAACAUCAUGGCAGAAGAGUGGAGAAGAAAAAAGCAGUUCAGGACAUGACAAUCAGAAAGGAGAGAGAGAGAGAGAGAGAGAGAGAGAGAGAGAGAGAGAGAGAGAGAGAGAGAGAGAGAGAAUGCUUGCGUGCAUGCCCGUGAGCGCUCUGCUCACCAGGGACAAAAUAUACACCCCAAGGGCAAGGCUCCAGUGACCUGCCUCAUUGUCCAGCCACACCCUACCUGCCUACUUACCACCCAGUUAAUCAAUAUCAGUGGAUUAAUCCAUUGAUUAGGUUAAGGCUCUCAACCCAAUCAUUUCACCUUUGAACUUUCUUGCAUUGUCUCACUACAUAUUCAAUCCAUAACACCAGGGCUGUUCCCAUCCAAUCUCAGUGUUUCACAUGAAAAUAGGUUAGUGUUUGUAAAUUAUCUUUGAGGCCUCUCUUUAUCUAAUUUCCUUUUCCCUUAACUGCCCAUUUACUUACAGUGAAUAAUAAAUUUAUGUUGGAUGCAUAAUUGUGGACAUUAGGAGUGAGAAAAGAUAUACUCUAAAGAAAGGGAAGAAACUAACAUGUUUUAGUAAGGAAAAUAUUUUGGGUGUUUCAAUGCCUCCUGCAGAAGGCAUCAACUUCAAGUGCCUGCUGCCUGGUGACUUUGAGUUCCUCCUUUGCUGUAAAAGCAGAGCAGAUAUUCUGCUGAACAGAGCAGAAACAGAGCACCUCAUGGAGAGUAGUAACCAAUGUGAAUAAAUCAUUGUUUCAGAAUCUGACCUGAAUUUCUCUUUUCAGCAGAAGGUUGUGUUCCUCUAACAGAAAGGUUUCAGAAUACAAAAGUAUAUAUGAUUUCCUGAAAACAGAGGCUUGAUAUUAUAGGCACUUCUAAUAAUAAAUAUGAAUUCUUUGGCAAAAACAAGUAUGAGGUUUUAUUGAUAAGUUGAUUGUUGUACAGGAACUCUGGGCCAUAUUGACUUUAAUAAAACAUUAAGUGGUUUAAUUAAAUCAUUAAUUCCACCCUCAGUGCCAUUUUUC